rnacentral:siRNA from 1 species
CUAGUCCUAGGUUCUGUUUUC